rnacentral:rRNA from 1 species
UACGUAGGGGCAAGCGUUGUCCGGAAUCAUUGGGCGUAAAGAGCGUGUAGGCGGCUCGAUAAGUCUGCUGUGAAAGUCCAGGGCUCAACCCUGGAAAGCCGGUGGAUACUGUCGGGCUAGAGUGCGGAAGAGGCGAGUGGAAUUCCUGGUGUAGCGGUGAAAUGCGCAGAUAUCAGGAGGAACACCGAUUGCGAAGGCAGCUCGCUGGGACGUAACUGACGCUGAGAACGCGAAAGCGUGGGGAGCAAACAGG